UAAAAAGUAGUAUAAGGGAAGUGCAAAGGGUUUUGAUCUCUUAUGUGUGGGUUCGAGUCCCAUCUUUUUAA
rnacentral:tRNA from 1 species